UAAUACUGAGGGUGCAAGCGUUAAUCGGAAUUACUGGGCGUAAAGCGCGCGUAGGCGGCUGGAUCAGUCGGGUGUGAAAGCCCCGGGCUCAACCUGGGAACUGCAUUCGAUACUGUCCGGCUGGAGUAUGGGAGAGGGUAGUGGAAUUCCAUGUGUAACGGUGAAAUGCGUAGAUAUGUGGAGGAACACCGGUGGCGAAGGCGGCUGCCUGGCCCAAUACUGACGCUGAGGUGCGAAAGCGUGGGUAGCGAACAGGAUUAGAUACCCUGGUAGUCCACGCCGUAAACGAUGUCAACUAGCCGUUGGGGGACUUGAUCCCUUAGUGGCGCAGCUAACGCGAUAAGUUGACCGCCUGGGGAGUACGGCCGCAAGGUUA
rnacentral:rRNA from 1 species